rnacentral:misc_RNA from 1 species
CAGAUUCAGGAGCAGCCAAGUCACCUGAAGUUUCACAUGGCUGGGGCACGCCAAAGGAAUCUGUUGAAGCUGGAAGUUCCCAUGAUUGGGGCCUGCCAGAUUCAGAAUCAGCCAAGUCACCUGAAGUUUCUCACGGCUGGGGCUUGUCCAAAGAGUCUAUUAAAGCAGCAAGUUCCCAGGGAUGGGGACUGCAAACUUCAGG